rnacentral:misc_RNA from 1 species
GUAUUAUGUUUUAUAGUUAUGACAUUCUGGACUUUUGUAGUAAGAUGUGUAAAGCGGAAGCGACGCGAACGCCGCAACCGAAAAGGUGCACAGGUGUGAGAGAUUUCGACAGCGUGCAGCCGAAGCGCACAGCUGAAGAGGUUAGGCCGAAGCCCGAAUCUUUAAUGAUCCUUCCGCAGGUUCACCUACGGAAA